CAGUCGCCACGGGAAUACAGAGGGUGCGAGCGUUGUUCGGAAUUACUGGGCGUAAAGCGCACGUAGGCGGAUAUUUAAGUCAGGGGUGAAAUCCCGCAGCUCAACUGCGGAACUGCCUUUGAUACUGGGUAUCUUGAGUAUGGAAGAGGUUAGUGGAAUUGCGAGUGUAGAGGUGAAAUUCGUAGAUAUUCGCAGGAACACCAGUGGCGAAGGCGGCUAACUGGUCCAUAACUGACGCUGAGGUGCGAAAGCGUGGGGAGCAAACAGGAUUAGAUACCCGAGUAGUCCCUGUCUCUUAUAA
rnacentral:rRNA from 1 species